AUAUCAAAGGAGUAUCACCUAGACAUUAAACUAUUCCACUCGUAUUCUUGCUGAGUGAGAGAGAUAGCAUUGCGUUUUGUGCUCACUGCACGUAUGAUGCAUUACAUCAUACGAGCAUGCUCGUAGGAUUGAAGGAGCGUUGUCUGGAAUUUUCUCUGCCUUGAAGCCAUUAAAAUUGAAGCUCAAGGAUCUCUCCUGAAUGCUCUUUUUCAGGGCUUUUUAGCACUUCGGAGUCUCUUGGUCCCUCUCUGAGUGUGUUUCUUGAAUCCAACAUACGAUGUGAUAAGUGAAGUUCUAGUUCAUUUAUGAGGUCACUUGCUGCUUUGAAUUGGAUUAUAGAGAGGAGCUUGAAUUCAAAACAUCAAAUCAAUGUGAAGAGGCGGAGAGGUUACGAUCAGAGCUAAAGCAUGUACAAGAAGAAUUAGAGGGCAUUAAGUCACAGUCUAUCGCUCUGAGGAGAGACUUAGAGGAGGCCAAAGAGGUCAAGUCACAUGCAGAACAACGGAUGUAUCAGGAGGAUGGAAGAGGCAGAACACGUGGAAAAUCGCUCAACGGGAUGUAAAGCAUGCCAUCGAAGCCGCUAAGAAAUCUUCAUUUGAAGCAGUUGCUAAAAAAAGAGAAAAGUUAGAGACUCAGAAACUAGCUGCAGAGAGAAUGACAGCAGUCAAUCGAAAUUCAGCUCUUUCAAUGUUGCAGAUUUAUAACAUGGGACAGAUUGAUAACCUCCAGAGCCAACUGUUUAGAGUGCACGAUGUCCUGAUGUAAUAUGACUAUAUAGUGAAAUUAUAAUCAAGAUUGGAUUUCUAGUUAAUAUCUAAUUA